AAAACGUGAGUGGUUCUAACUCCUAGAA
rnacentral:piRNA from 1 species